GAUCAUGGCUCAGGAUGAACGCUAGCGACAGGCUUAACACAUGCAAGUCGAGGGGCAGCGAGGGCGUAGCAAUACGCCUGUCGGCGACCGGCGCACUGGUGAGUAACACGUAUGCGACCUGCCCCCUACAGGGGUAUAACCCGUAGAAAUGCGGACUAAUCCCCCAUAGUCCUGGGUGCUGCAUGGCAUUCAGGGGAAAGGCCAGCCGGUAGGGGAUGGGCAUGCGGCGCAUUAGCUAGUUGGCGGGGCAACGGCCCACCAAGGCGACGAUGCGUAGGGGUUCUGAGAGGAAGGUCCCCCACACUGGUACUGAGACACGGACCAGACUCCUACGGGAGGCAGCAGUGAGGAAUAUUGGUCAAUGGGCGUAAGCCUGAACCAGCCAAGUAGCGUGAGGGAAGACUGCCCUACGGGUUGUAAACCUCUUUUGUUUGGGAAUAAAGUGCGGGACGCGUCCCGCAUUGCAUGUACCAUUUGAAUAAGGACCGGCUAAUUCCGUG
rnacentral:rRNA from 1 species